rnacentral:rRNA from 1 species
UUGUUCUCAGUUCGGAUUGUAGUCUGCAACUCGACUACAUGAAGCUGGAAUCGCUAGUAAUCGUAGAUCAGCAUGCUACGGUGAAUACGUUCCCGGGUCUUGUACACACCGCCCGUCACACCACGAGAGUUUGUAACACCCGAAGCCGGUGGAGUAACCUUUUAGGAUCUAGCCGUCGAAGGUGGGACAAAUGAUUGGGGUGAAGUCGUAACAAGGUAGCCGUAUCGGAAGGUGCGGCUGGAUCACCUCCUUU